CCUACGGGUGGCUGCAGUGGGGAAUAUUGGGCAAUGGGCGCAAGCCUGACCCAGCAACGCCGCGUGAAGGAAGAAGGCUUUCGGGUUGUAAACUUCUUUUGUCAGGGAAGAGUAGAAGACGGUACCUGACGAAUAAGCCACGGCUAACUAAGUGACAGCAGCCGCGGUAAUACGUAGGUGGCAAGCGUUGUCCGGAUUUACUGGGUGUAAAGGGCGUGUAGCCGGGUUGACAAGUCAGAUGUGAACUCAUGCGGCUUAACCGCAGAACUGCAGUUGAAACUGUUGAUCUUGAGUACUGGAGAGGCAGAUGGAAUUACUAGUGUAGCGGUGAAAUGCGUAGAUAUUAGGAGGAACACCAGUGGCGAAGGCGGUCUGCUGGACAGCAACUGACGGUGAGGCGCGAAAGCGUGGGGAGCAAACAGGAUUAGAUACCCGUGUAGUC
rnacentral:rRNA from 1 species